UACGUAGGGGGCAAGCGUUGUCCGGAUUUAUUGGGCGUAAAGAGCUCGUAGGCGGCUCGGUAAGUCGGAUGUGAAACCUCCAGGCUCAACCUGGAGACGCCAUCUGAUACUGCCGUGGCUUGAGUCCGGUAGAGGAGCAGGGAAUUCCUGGUGUAGCGGUGAAAUGCGCAGAUAUCAGGAGGAACACCAGCGGCGAAGGCGCUGCUCUGGGCCGGUACUGACGCUGAGGAGCGAAGCGUGGGGAGCGAACAGG
rnacentral:rRNA from 1 species